rnacentral:rRNA from 1 species
GACGAACGCUGGCGGCGUGCUUAACACAUGCAAGUCGAACGAGACGAUUUAGAAGCUUGCUUCUUAUUGAUUCGAGUGGCAAACGGGUGAGUAACGCGUAAGCAACCUGCCCUUCAGAUGGGGACAACAGCUGGAAACGGCUGCUAAUACCGAAUACGUUCUCUUUAUCGCAUGGCAGAGGGAAGAAAGGGAGGCUCUUCGGAGCUUUCACUGAAGGAGGGGCUUGCGUCUGAUUAGCUAGUUGGAGGGGUAACGGGCCCCGACCCAAGGCGACGAUCAGUAGCCGGUCUGAGAGGAUGAACGGCCACAUUGGGACUGAGACACGGUCCAGACUCCUACGGGAGGCAGCAGUGGGGAAUCUUCCGCAAUGGCGAAAGCCUGACGGAGCAACGCCGCGUGACGUGAAGAAGGUCUUCGGAUCGUAAAGCUCUGUUGAGAGGGACGAGAGAUA